GGUUCCAUCCUCUAAUGGUUUAGGAGGCCGGACUCUCAAUCCGGCAAUGUUAGGUUCGAAUCCUACUGGAAUCACCA
rnacentral:tRNA from 1 species